UGUUAUAAACAGAUUGUAUGAAGAUGCAGUUAGUAGAAGUUGUAACGUAGUUAGGAUUCAAAACCUCGCCUUUUGCCAUUUAACUCAUAUAUAUUGCAAAAAUACAAGUCAUUACUCAAAUUUACUGUUUUAUUUUACACUGAAUAGCAGCUUUGGGGAACAGCACAGUGGACACCAAAAUAAAAACAUAUAUACAUAUUUGAAUAGACCAACACAUAUUAGCAUUGUUAAUUGACAUCUGUGCCUCCCAAAUCUCAAAAAACACUGGCCCCACAGAAAGUAACAUGAACAAUCUGAAAAAAAGGGAACUAGGUAGGUACAAUGGGAACUUGUUCUAAACAAGCUCUGCAGGUGGAGCCGAAACAUGAAUGUGACAAUCAGCUGCUCAGGCUGAAUUUUAUUUAUUUAUUUUUUUUUUUUAUGCAAUGCUAACACAUGUGGAGUGCACCAAGCCAAUGUCAACAGUUCAGGUUGGAAAGUGAGAUGAUUCCGGGGCCACAGAUACAAAGCAAACAUGCAGAAAAACCACCAGCAUACAGGCAUCACAGCCCAUCCCAUCCGAGCAUUUCCGGGCACAUGCAUUACACAAAACUCAGGAGCACAGACACUUCUUUGAAAGCACUUAGGUACAGGUGGGCCAAGGGUCUUUUGAAAGGUACAUUUUACUGUAUGGGAGUAACCGGACCCGGAUAGGAUCCUGCUUUUAGUUGACUAGAUGGCUUGUGCAGGAAAUGGUAAGUGCUGAGGGAGGUGUACACCUCACACACAUGAAAAGGUGCUCUGAUCUGUCCCACAACAGGCACACAUGGUCUGACCUAGAUUCCCCCCAUUCUGUAUAAAAGCUGCUCUGCCAAGUAAGGCAGAGUGGGAAGGGCUAAGCUGUGGUGCGUAGCUUUGCCCCAUCUCUCUCUGUCUCUCUCUCGCUAGCCCUCCCAAACAUGGGCGGAGUGUAGCGUGGCCUUUUCAAACUCGCCCGGCUGGCAAGCAGACUGGCUUUUGGAAGCAAGCAAUGCUGUUUUGAACUGCUGCCAAAUGAGACAGCCUCUGCCGGCGCAGCUGAAACUUUUUACAGCCUCCCCUCAAUUCGACAGGAAGAGACACGGGGAGCAAAUUUGUAGGAGAGGGGAAAAAGAGCAAAAUAAAUCUUUGUAGCCUCUGCAACUAAGGCACUGCAUCAAGGAUUUCCUUCUGUGCUUUCACGGUUCCCUACUUUGGCAAGGUGCCAAAAAGAUGUUUAAAAGAGAUUUUUUUUCCCUCUCUCGCUCUCUGGGAGGAUUAAACGGGGAAUGGAUGUGCUAAGAAGUGAAGAGUUCAAUGAGUUCAGUAAAUGAGAGAUAUGUAAAUGCAUCAAUAACAAAGGAACUGUGACGUCACACACUGUGCUGCCCAAGACACUGCCUGCAAGCAGACGGAACAAAUGCGGACUCAUUUGACAAGAUGCCAUUUGCGUCCUAUAAAGAGUAUUCCUGUUUUACAUCACAGAUUCUUGCACAGGAAGAAGACCAUGUGAAGCCUGCAACGACUGAAACGAAUGACAUGUUCUCUUUCAUGGUAAGGACUUGGGGACCUGACAAACUUUUAGCAUUAUGACUCAACUGAAAAUUGCAACAACUUUCUCAGUGCUUAUUUGCAUAGUGUUUUGCUACUCUUAACUAAAUGACUGCAUGCAAAGUGCAACAUGGAUGAUGAUGUCAAACACAAGGUGAGUCAUAAAACCAAAUGAAUCAGGCAGGCAAAUGAGAUUAACCGAGUAUAGUGUCUUUCAAGACUCUUUGAGGAAGUACUACGGACCGCUCAUGUCAUGUUUCUAUGCGUUUGAAAUCCAAAACGCAGGCGGUGGCAGAAGAGUCACUGGAUGUGUGUAAUGAUUAGCGAGGACUAUAACUGGAAGGCUCAAACUACCUGGGACAGAUGCCAAAUGCUGACAAAGGCAAUCAUUGCAUUCUCGGGGCAAGCAAAAUCAACUCUUUUGUCCUCUUGCGCUUCUUUUGGGAGGGUUAUUUAUAACUCCUCGAGAAACCACCGAAUGCAUUGACUAAAUGCUUAAGGGGUCGGUCACAUGCUUUGGCUAAAUGGAAUAAAAAAUCAUGUAAGUAUUAACCUGUUCUGAAUCUGGUGUUACUCAGGACCCAUUUAGCUGAAGAGUUUCCCUUAAAAAAAAAAAACAAUUCUGAGCCCUUAUUUUCCAAACUGUAUACAAGGAGAAACUGUGACUGGGAAAGAGGGGUACAACCUGACCUUCUCACAUUCCCAUAAAAACAAGUUUUGCGUGCUAGUUUAACACAGACGGUAGCAAUAACUGUACCUUUAUAGGCACUUUGUGAUUUUCAGCAUGCCAAACCCUCUCUUCCUGAUCCUGAUUUCUUUUACGUUACUCAAACUCCCUUACUUUCUCCACCUCCUCUCUCCCUCUCUCAGUUUCUGUCUUUCACUUUGCAUCCUGUGCCAAAGUGGGCAGGGAGAAAGAGCUCGUGGUGAGGUGGGUGAAACGGAGGCCGCUGUACGUGCUCUUUCUUCAGCCACAACCCCGUGGAAGAGCAUGUUUGGUGGUAGCACGUUUCUAGGUCUCUCUCCCCGAGAUAGGCGUAGUAUGUGCAUAAGUCUACUCUUCUCGCCGCCAUGACCCUGCCUUGUGUUCUUUGAUGUUGAAGCCUCUAGUCUGCAGGAAUCCAGCGGUCUGCUGUCUGGCUGGUUGACAUCUGUUCUGCUGUCCUUGGGGCUGAGGUAGUAGAUUGAAUAGUUGUGGAGCCCUGCGCUCUCUCACUGAGAUAACUAUACAAUCUACUGUCUUUCCUAAGGCGACAGCCAAAUCAUCCACAAACAACAUGGACUCAUUUGAAAAAGUGUCUGCAGUCCUCCAGUGAGUUGGAAAGGAUAUUCACUCACAUUACAAAAGCAAAAUGGGCUGGUAUCGAUGAGUCAUGCUGACUUCAUGCAUACGCAAACGUGUCAGGCGAUGGGACUGUCCUUUGGUGUCCUGACAGGGUGAGGUAGUAGGUUGUAUAGUUUGGUGGGAGGGAUCAAACCCUGUUCAGGUGAUAACUAUACAGUCUAUUGCCUUCCUUGUUGUACCAGCUAUCUGUCUGCUAGUGGAAAUUCCCUGGAGUUUAAAUAUUGCUUAAACCCUUUGGCCUGCUUCACACCACAUGAACUUUGUAUAUGUAAGCGUAGUGUUUAUUUCGGCACCCAUAUAUACAAGUUACAUCAUUCACACUGCCUGCAUAAACAGAGCAGUGUAGCAUGAGUGAUACACUGAAGUUAGUCUGCAAAAAAAUACUUUACGAAGCAGCAAAGUAAUGGAGCAAACUCCCGAAAAAGCAUGCUUUAUUCAGUAAAUCUGAAACACGUUCUAUUCAGUAAAUCUGACUGAAUCAAGAAGAGUUAAGCAGUUUGAAAAGUUUGGGGUCAGUAAAAAAAUAAAUAAAUAAAAAGUUUGCAUUUAAA